AAUCCACCUGGGGAGUACGUUGGCAACAAUGAAACUCAAAGGAAUUGACGGGGGCCCGCACAAGCGGAGGAACAUGUGGUUUAAUUCGAUGAUACGCGAGGAACCUUACCUGGACUUAAAUGUAGAUUGCAUGAAGCAGAGAUGCUUCUUUCUUCGGACUAUUUACAAGGUGCUGCAUGGUUGUCGUCAGCUCGUGCCGUGAGGUGUCGGGUUAAGUCCCAUAACGAGCGCAACCCCUGUUGUUAGUUACCAGCACGUGAAGGUGGGGACUCUAACAAGACUGCCGGUGUAAACCGCGAGGAAGGUGGGGAUGACGUCAAAUCAGCACGGCCCUUACGUCCAGGGCUACACACGUGUUACAAUGGCAGGUACAAAGGGCAGCUACAUAGCAAUAUGAUGCUAAUCUCAAAAGCCUGUCUCAGUUCGGAUCGGAGUCUGCAACUCGACUCCGUGAAGCUGGAUUCGCUAGUAAUCGCGCAUCAGCCAUGGCGCGGUGAAUACGUUCCCGGGCCUUGUACACACCGCCCGUCAAACCAUGGAAGCCGGGGGUACCUGAAGUCUGUUACCGCAAGGAGCGGCCUAGGGUAAAACUGGUAACUAGGGUUAAGUCGUAACAAGGUAGCCG
rnacentral:rRNA from 1 species